rnacentral:rRNA from 1 species
ACUGCUAUCGGGAUAGGACUAAGACAUGCUAGUCGAGCGCGUCAGCCAAAACGACGCGCGGCAAACAGCUCAGUAACACGUGGCUUAUCUGCCCUUGGGACGAGAACCACCCCGGGAAACUGGGGCUAACUCUCGAUAAGUGAAGAACUCUGGAAUGAGUCUUUGCAUAAAAAGCUUCACGUUAUGUUCGUGAAGUCGCCUAAGGAUGAGGCCGCGACCGAUCAGGUUGUUGGUGAGGUAAUGGCCCACCAAGCCUUUUACCGGUGCGGGCCGUGAGAGCGGGAGCCCGGAGAUAGGUACUGAGACAAGGACCCAGGCCCUACGGGGCGCAGAAGUCCCGAAAACUUUGCAAUAAGCGCAAGCUUGACAGGGCUAUCCCGAGUGCCAUCCGCUGAGGAAGGCCUUUACCCAGUCUAGAACGCUGGGGGAAUAAGGAGAGGGCAAGUCUGGUGUCAGCCGCCGCGGUAAUACCAGCUCUUCGAGUGGUGGGGAUGUUUAUUGGGCCUAAAGCAUCCGUAGCUGGCUAAGUUAGUCCCCUUGUUAAAUCCCCCGAAAUAAUCGUUGGAUUGCGGGGGAUACUGGCUUUGGCUUGGGGACGAGAGAGGCAGACGGGAUUUUCCGGGGUAGGGUGAAAUCCUAUAAUCCCGGAAAGACCACCUGUGGCGAAGGGUGUUCUGUUAAAACGCGCCCCACUUUGAGGGAUGAAAGCUGGGGGAGCGAACCGGAUUAGAUCCCCGGGUAGUCCCAGCUGUGAACGAUGCAGGCUAGGGGUGUGGACGGCUACGUGUCGUUCUAGUGCCGAGAGAACUUGUUUAACCUGCCGUCCGGGGGAGGACGAUCGCAGAUUGCAACUAAAGGAUUUGGAGGG